rnacentral:rRNA from 1 species
UACAGGGGGUGCUAGCGUUGUUCGGAAUUACUGGGCGUAAAGGGCGCGUAGGCGGUUUCGCAAGUCAGGGGUGAAAUCCCGGAGCUUAACUCCGGAAUUGCUUUUGAUACUGUGAGGCUAGAGUGUAUUAGAGGAUGGCGGAAUUCCUAGUGUAGUGGUGAAAUACGUAGAUAUUAGGAAGAACACCGGUGGCGAAGGCGGCCAUCUGGGAUACAACUGACGCUGAGGCGCGAAAGCGUGGGGAUCAAACAGG